GUGUUCUCUUCAGCAGCACAUAUACUAAGAUGGGAACGGUAGAGAGAAGCUUAGCAUGGCCCUACACAAGGAUGACAAGCAAACCUGUCAAGCAUCCAAUGUUUUC